rnacentral:rRNA from 1 species
ACGUACACUCCUGCGGGAAGGCAGCAGUGGGGAAUAUUGGACAAUGGGCGCAAGCCUGAUCCAGCCAUGCCGCGUGAGUGAUGAAGGCCCUAGGGUUGUAAAGCUCUUUCACCGGUGAAGAUAAUGACGGUAACCGGAGAAGAAGCCCCGGCUAACUUCGUGCCAGCAGCCGCGGUAAUACGAAGGGGGCUAGCGUUGUUCGGAUUUACUGGGCGUAAAGCGCACGUAGGCGGACUAUUAAGUCAGGGGUGAAAUCCCGGGGCUCAACCCCGGAACUGCCUUUGAUACUGGUAGUCUUGAGUUCGAGAGAGGUGAGUGGAAUUCCGAGUGUAGAGGUGAAAUUCGUAGAUAUUCGGAGGAACACCAGUGGCGAAGGCGGCUCACUGGCUCGAUACUGACGCUGAGGUGCGAAAGCGUGGGGAGCAAACAGGAUUAGAAACCCUAGUAGUCCCA